rnacentral:tRNA from 1 species
CAUAGCUCAGCUGGAUAGAGCGCUGCCCUCCUAAGGCAGAGGUCAGAGGUUCGGAGUCAAAGCGAAGCGCAGACGAACGAGGCCAAAGGCCGAGGACAAUCCUGUCGCUUGCCGCU